rnacentral:rRNA from 1 species
AUGGUUGAGCACCUAGUUGAGGAGAUUGGUUGGGAGAUGGCAGGAAGGCUGAAGGUUUACUACUGCAUUCCAAUCCUAACCUUGCAGAAGAAUGGCUUGAGAGAAAUAAGAGGAGAUAGAGACACAGACCAGAUGAUAACUUUUGUUGAUCUUGGCCACCACUCAUUCAGUCUGUAUUUAGACCAUGAAGACAGUCUGAAUUCAAACAAUGAUGAUGAUGAUGAUGUGGUCAAUUUCCCAAGAGUGCAGCUACCUCCAGUGUUUAGUCCUUCUAAGACAAGAGUUGAUCAGUCAGAAAGUACUGAGGCUGUAAUUGCAGAGACAGAUGUUCAUGUUGAUGAUGAAGGUGCAAGGCAGGAAGGUGAAGCAAUCCCAAUACAAGUAGUGUAUCCAGAGAGCUCAGAUGUUGAUGUGGGUAAUUAUGUGUUUGCAAGGAGGGAUUCUUCUUUUGGUAACCAGGAUGAAAAUGCUGCAGCUCCUGAUGAUCUCCAGGAAGCAAAACAACAAGGUAGUGAUGAGCUAGGAGGAUCAAGAGUAUGCAAAAGGAAAACCAGACAGAAAAGCAGUUAUGAUUACAUUGAAGAUGCUGAAAGUGACUCAGAUGACUCUGACUUUGAUCCUGGAGCCAUAGUGGACAGUGACUAUGACAUUAGUGAUGGUGAUGAUGAUUUGUAUGCUGACAAUGUAGACAUGGAUGAGCCUGUGGUGACAGAGAAGAAGAAAGAAGAGAAAGGGAAGCAAAAAGUUGAAAAGGGAAAAGAAGCAGUGAAAGGAAAUGAGAUAGAUGGAGAUAAAGCAGCAGCAUAUGAUCAUGAAGAUGAGUUAUAUGAAUCGGAGGGUGAUGACUUGUGGGCACCAGAUUCUGAUGAUGAAGAGGUAUUCAUGAAGUUCAAGGCAUUCAGAAUAGAGGAUCUUCAUUGUCCCAAGUUUCAUGUUGGUCAAGUUUUCCAAACUGUAGAGCUCUUGAGGAAAGCCAUCAAGGAGUAUUGCUGCAAAAACAGGGUAGAUGUGAAGUUGCCAGUGAAUGAUAAGAAAAGAGUGAAGGCAACAUGUGAUGAGGACUGUACUUGGUAUCUUUGGGCUUCAUAUGAUAGCAGGACCAAGUGUUUCAUGGUCAAGAAAUAUGUGGAUGAGCAUACUUGUAACAAGAAGUGGAAGAUCAAGGCUUUCACAGCACCAUUUCUAGCACAGAAGUAUCUUGAGAGCUUUAGAGCUGACCAAGACAUGAAUUUGACAAACUUUUCUAGAGUUGUUCAAAAGGAGUGGCAUAUGAUCCCAACCAGGACCAAGUUGCAAAGAGCUAGGAGGCUAGCAAUGAAAAUAAUUUAUGAUGAUGAAGAAGGCCAAUACAACAUGCUCUGGGACUAUGGUAAUGAGUUGAGAAUAAGUAACCCUGGGAGCUCAUUCUUUGUUGCACUAGAUAGUCAGGCAAGGUUUAAUAAAGCCUAUAUGUGUCUAGAUGCAUGCAAAAGAGGGUUCUUGCAGGGAUGUAGGCCUAUGAUAUUCCUUGAUGGUUGUCAUAUCAAGACAAGGUACAGAGGACAGGUACUCACUGCUGUUGGGAUAGACCCAAAUUAUUGUAUUUUUCCUAUUGCAGUAGCUGUAGUUGAAGUGGAAGACAAGCCUAAUUGGUGUUGGUUCCUUGAAAGACUGAAGAAUAAUCUUGCCAUCUUUAAUACUGCUCCAUGGACCAUUAUGUCAGACAAACAAAAGGGCCUUAUCAAUGUUGUGGAUGAGUUAUUUCCAGAGUCUGAACACAGGUUCUGUGUCAGACACAUGUGGCAGAACUUUCAACAACAAUUCAAAGGGGAUGUUCUUAAGAAUCAACUUUGGAAGAUAGCAAGAAGUACCACUGCUGUGAAGUAUGAGCAGUACAUGGCUGAGAUGAAGGACAUCAGCUUGGAUGCUUACAAGUGGUUGCAUGAGUUGGAACCAUACACAUGGGUUAGAACAUUUCAAAGUGAUCUUCCCAAGUGUGAUAUAUUGCUCAACAAUAACUGUGAAGUUUUCAACAAGUAUAUCUUAGAUGCUAGAGAGCUACCUAUACUUUCUAUGCUAGAAAGGAUCAAAGGCCAGCUAAUGCAGAGGCACUACAGCAAACAGCUUGAGGCAGAGAAGAUGAAAGGAAAUAUUUGUCCAAAGAUCAAGAAAAAGGUGGAGAAGCUAACUGAUUGGGCAAACCUGUGCUAUGUGGAUGGAUCUAGAGAUGGGAUGUUCCAGGUAGGGGACAGGGGUGUGAACUACCUUGUGGACUGGCACACCAAUGAAUGCAGCUGUAAGAGGUGGCAGAAGGGUGGCACACCUUGUGUACAUGCAAUAGCAUGUGCUAGACAUGAAAGAGUUGACCCUCUUUCAUUGGUUAACCAAUGCUAUUCUGUGAGCAUGUACAAAAUGGCAUACAUGAACAUAAUCUAUCCUUGUAGAGACAUGACAGAAUGGGAGAAGAUGAAUGGGCCACCACUUCUGCCACCAUUGUACACCAAGCAAGUAGGCAGGCCAUGCAAAAGCAGAAGAAAAGCACCAGGUGAAGUAAUCUGCAGUAAUGGUGGCAAGAAAAUGUCUAGGCAUGGUGUCAUCAUGCACUGCAAGUACUGUGGAGAGGCUGAUCACAACAUUAAAGGAUGCAAGCACCUCAAGGCAGGAGUACCUCCUCCAAAUAUGCAGGCAGCAUCAGCAUCACAAGCAAAUCAUGAAGCACCAUCACCACCUGAGCAACAUGUGCAAGAUGAAGAUCCUAUCAUUACUCAGGAACACAACCCUGUAGAAAAUCCUAUCAUAGAAGAUCUUAUGGUUGAUCAAAUGAUAGAAAGGAGGCCUGUGCCAAGAGUGAUUGCACAAGGACCUGUACCAGAGUCUACAUUCUUUACUACUGCUCAGCUCUUGGUCAAUCAAAACCAAGGGAACACAAGCACCAUUCAGCAAGGAGAGAUGGCCAAGAAGUUACUUGCAUUAAAAAAAGCAGAGAGACAAAGACUUAGAAGACAAGAAAAAUGCUAUACUUGCAGCAAGGAGAGCAGGACAAGAAAAGAAGGCUGA